rnacentral:misc_RNA from 1 species
GAUGAAGAACGUAGUGAAAUGCGAUAAGUAAUGUGAAUUGCAGAAUUCAGUGAAUCAUCGAAUCUUUGAACGCACAUUGCGCCCCUUGGUAUUCCGAGGGGCAUGCCUGUUCGAGCGUCAUUAUAACCCCUCAAGCUCAGCUUGGUGUUGGGGCCUGCUGCACUGGCAGCCCUUAAAAUCAGUGGCGGCGCCAUCUGGCUCUAAGCGUAGUAAUUCUUCUCGCUAUGGAGUCCUGGUGGAUGCUUGCCAUCAACCCCCAAUUUUUCUAUGGUUGACCUCGGAUCAGGUAGGGAUACCCGCUGAACUUAAGCAUAUAAUAAGCGGAGGA